rnacentral:rRNA from 1 species
GGGCCCGCACAAGCGGUGGAGCAUGUGGUUUAAUUCGACGAUACGCGAAAAACCUUACCAGCUCUUGACAUGGGAUUUGGAUCUUGGAGACAAGGUUCUUCGGUUCGGCCGGGUCCCACACAGGUGCUGCAUGGCUGUCGUCAGCUCGUGUCGUGAGAUGUUGGGUUAAGUCCCGCAACGAGCGCAACCCUUGUCCCUAGUUGCUAACAGGUUAUGCUGAGAACUUUAGGGAGACUGCCGGUGACAAACUGGAGGAAGGAAAGGAUGAUGUCAAGUCAUCAUGGCCCUUAUGGGCUGGGCUACACACGUGCUACAAUGGUGGUUACAAAAGACGCAAUAGGGCGACCUGGAGCAAAUCUAUAAAAGCCAUCUCAGUUCGGAUUGUUCUCUGCAACUCGAGAGCAUGAAGUUGGAAUC